ensembl:lncRNA
GCAGGUUUGGCGUGGGAUACUUCAGGGCACCAAAGAAAGUACUUUUCUGGUCUUGCGUCCAGCACCCCCCCCCCUCCUUUUUCCUCACUGUGCAAUGUGUGCUUUAAAGAAUGAUGGCACAUAACAGCCGACAAAUAGCACAAUUUCUUUUCUGCCUAUAGGGCAUUAAAACUGCAGAUGUCCACAUGGAUGCUUGCACACAUACAUGAGUGAAGGCAAGAGGAGCCAUUAACGGGGGGGGUUAGAACGUAGAGCCAGCAAGAAAAUGAAAGGGGAUGGAGGUGUACAGAAGGGGAGCUAUAUUUAGAUAAUCAUCCAGCGACUAAUAGCUUGUGCACUGAUGUUUUAAUCCUAAAGAGAGAUAACACGGCCCCUCAACACACAUAUCAGCCCCAGAGGAGGGGGCCGGCGAGCAGUUCCACCAUGUCGGGGGGGGGGAACCCACAGAGGAGGUAGAGUCGCUAUCAACCAACACCUGAGCUCCAACAAGGCGACCCAUUUGCGGACUACCACUGGUGGGGCGAUUUGUGCUCCUCUGCAACAGCAGCAGUCACUGGUUACCGGCCGCGCGUUGCUUCACGGGUGGAAGUUGUGUGAGCCAAACAUUCCAGGCCCAGCUGGUUCACAUCAGUCGAGCAGAGCACGGAGGCCAGAUGGGGGCCUCCCAUCUACGCUACAAGUAGGAUGCGAUUCUACUGCAAGAAAGGGGGGGAAAACGACUAUUACAGAUCCCAAAGUCAUCGAAGGAAAGAAAGGGUUCCGGUGGGAAAAGGGAAAAAAAGGCCAUUGUAGUGAGAGUGAACAACCUCCUCUCAGCCAAUAAUGUGCAAACUUCCUGUUAAAACCACAACGACUGCUGGCCAAAAAGUCCUUUUUUGUUUCUGCAAAGAGAUUUUACCAGCUCUUAUUCAGCAUAAAGCUCCUGCUUGCUAUCUUGUCUCUUCCUAAUUACCAACUAUGUAAUAAUAUCCAGACAUGCGGCUGCAUAGAUAAAGAUUGCCCCAUAACCGUAAUAAAAUACAUUCUAAAACAUACUGUAAAAGAAUUAAAUCCUACUGGCCAAGAAAUACCCUUUCACAAGAAACAUUUUGUUUUAAAUCAUUUGCUUUCAUCAAAUAUGCAUUUCUAAAAAGGCGUUUUGCAUGUUUUGUACUAACUUGAGUUGAGUUUGUU